rnacentral:rRNA from 1 species
UACGGGGGGGGCAAGCGUUGUUCGGAAUUACUGGGCGUAAAGGGCUCGUAGGCGGCCAACUAAGUCGGAUGUGAAAUCCCCAGGCUUAACCUGGGAACUGCAUCCGAUACUGGAUGGCUUGAAUCCGGGAGAGGGAUGCGGAAUUCCAGGUGUAGCGGUGAAAUGCGUAGAUAUCAGGAGGAACACCGGUGGCGAAGGCGGAUCUCUGGGCCGUAACUGACGCUGAGGAGCGAAAGCAUGGGGAGCGAACAGG